rnacentral:tRNA from 1 species
UCCUCGGUAGUAUAUCGGCUAGUACACCCGCCUGUCAUCGAGUGGCAACAUUCCUUUCGCGGGAGAGCGGGGUUCGACUCCCCGCCGAGGAG